UAUUAAAAUUUUCUUCUAUUUUUACCUUUAAAAACUAGUGUAGAUGUCUAAAUAAUCAGACAGUUUGCAUGUACGUGCCACAUGUACUUCAUGUUGACGCACAAAACCAAAUUUUUAAAGAUAAAAAUGGAAGAAAUUUGACUA
rnacentral:pre_miRNA from 1 species